UCGCUCACUCGCUCUCUCUCGGUCUCCGUCUCAUACUCUCAUCGAGAGUUCGAGACAUCGCUCGAUUCGCUCCGCCUACCACAUCGCUACCAGACUAGGCCGACGGACUCUCAGGCGACGAACUCUCAGGCGACGGGCCGACGGACUCUCACAGUGACUCAGUGAGGCGGAUCCGCUCCUGCUUCUUCACGGGCCGACGGACUCUCACUCCUCUCGCCGUCUGUGGCUCAGCCGGCUCUCCCGACGCCCCUGUCAUCGACUACGGAUCUACCUAGUCUACGGAUCUCCUCUCGCGGUCUCGCCCCUGCCACUGCGGCACUGCCAGGGCAGGUACUCUCUCGCUAUCCGAGAGUCCGAGAGUCCGACUGUCUGAGUCUCCGACUACACCCAGGCAGGGCUUUGAUUUAUGGAGGAUUUUGUUGAAAUUGGACUACUGUCUACUGGAGUACUGGAGGAUUGCCAACCGGUUCUACUGGAGUGAAUGUGUGAUCAAGGAGGCAGGAGGCAGGAGCUGCUUUGUUAUGUUCAAUUGAAGUUCUCAAAUUUUGGAACCCAACAAUUCUGCAACUUGCAUGCCUAUGAUUAUAUGAUCCCCUUUUUGUCUCUUUUAAUCUGGGUAGCCAAUAUUUGGCAAAAAGUAAGAUUCUUGGAUUCUAUGUGUUUGUGAAGUCUUCAGCAUUUUUGGUUUACCUUAAAAGUUAAUGUAUUUUGUGCCUAACUACCUAUGGAUUUAGUUGGAAUUUGAUGUGGAUGUUCCGAUAA